AGUGAACGCUGGCGGUAGGCCUAACACAUGCAAGUCGAACGGCAGCACAGUAAGAGCUUGCUCUUACGGGUGGCGAGUGGCGGACGGGUGAGGAAUACAUCGGAAUCUACUUUUUCAUGGGGGAUAACGUUGGGAAACUUACGCUAAUACCGCAUACGACCUACGGGUUAAAGCAGGGGAUCUUCGGACCUUUCGCGAUUGAAUGAGCCGAUGUCGGAUUAGCUAGUUGGCGGGGUAAAGGCCCACCAAGGCGACGAUCCGUAGCUGGUCUGAGAGGAUGAUCAGCCACACUGGAACUGAGACACGGUCCAGACUCCUACGGGAGGCAGCAGUGGGGAAUAUUGGACAAUGGGCGCAAGCCUGAUCCAGCCAUACCGCGUGGGUGAAGAAGGCCUUCGGGUUGUAAAGCCCUUUUGUUGGGAAAGAAAAGCAGCAGGUUAAUACCCCGCUGUUCUGACGGUACCCAAAGAAUAAGCACCGGCUAACUUCGUG
rnacentral:rRNA from 1 species